CCUACGGGUGGCAGCAGUGAGGCAUAUUGGUCAAUGGGCGCGAGCCUGAACCAGCCAAGUCGCGUGAGGGAAGACGGUCCUAUGGAUUGUAAACCUCUUUUGUCGGGGAGCAAAAGACGCCACGCGUGGCGUUCCGAGAGUACCCGAAGAAAAAGCAUCGGCUAACUCAGUGCCAGCAGCCGCGGUAAUACGGAGGAUGCGAGCGUUAUCCGGAUUUAUUGGGUUUAAAGGGUGCGCAGACGGACGAUCAAGUCAGCGGUAAAAUUGAGAGGCUCAACCUCUUCGAGCCGUUGAAACUGGUUGUCUUGAGUGAGUGAGAAGUAUGCGGAAUGCGUGGUGUCGCGGUGAAAUGCAUAGAUAUCACGCAGAACUCCGAUUGCGAAGGCAGCAUACCGGCGCUCAACUGACGCUCAUGCACGAAAGUGUGGGUAUCGAACAGGAUUAGAUACCCCAGUAGUC
rnacentral:rRNA from 1 species